rnacentral:rRNA from 1 species
AAUCUUGCGCAAUGGGCGAAAGCCUGACGCAGCAACGCCGCGUGCGGGACGACGGCCGUCGUGGUUGUAAACCGCUUUCAGCAGGGACGACACUGACGGUACCUGCAGAAGAAGCCCCGGCUAACUACGUGCCAGCAGCCGCGGUAAUACGUAGGGGGCAAGCGUUGUCCGGAUUCAUUGGGCGUAAAGAGCUCGUAGGCGGUUCAGUAAGUCAGGUGUUAAAGCUCCGAGCUUAACUCGGAGAGGCCAUCUGAUACUGCUGUGACUAGAAUCCAGUAGGGGAGCGUGGAAUUCCUAGUGUAGCGGUGAAAUGCGCAGAUAUCAGGAGGAACACCAGCGGCGAAGGCGGCGCUCUGGGCUGAGAUUGACGCUGAGAAGCGAAAGUGUGGGUAGCAAAC